rnacentral:misc_RNA from 1 species
GAUGAAGAACGCAGCGAAAUGCGAUAAGUAAUGUGAAUUGCAGAAUUCAGUGAAUCAUCGAAUCUUUGAACGCAUCUUGCGCUCCUUGGUAUUCCUUGGAGCAUGCCUGUUUGAGUAUCAUGAGCAAAUCUCAAAGUCAAUUCCUUUUGUUGAUUCAAUUGGUUUUGCUUUGGACUUGGAGGCCUUGCAGAUUUCACAGUCUGCUCCUCUUAAAUGCAUUAGCUGGAUCUCAGUAAUUAUGCUUGGUUCCACUCGGCGUGAUAAGUAUCACUCGCUGAGGACACUGUUAAAAAGGUGGCCAGGAAAAUACUGAUUGAACCGCUUCUAACGGUCUAUUAAGUUAGACAAUUACCCUUAAGUUUGAUCUCAAAUCAGGUAGGACUACCCGCUGAACUUAAGCAUAUCCUAAGCGGAGGA